CCACUACUGAGGAGUCCCAUACUAGGACGAAACGGCCGUCCAGUGC
rfam:Schistosoma haematobium scaffold640_8, whole genome shotgun sequence.